UACGUAGGUGGCGAGCGUUGUCCGGAAUUAUUGGGCGUAAAGCGCGCGCAGGCGGGAUAUUAAGUCUGCUCUAAAAGUGCGGGGCUCAACUCCGUAGCGGGGUAGAAACUAAUAUUCUUGAGUGCCGGAGAGGAAAGCGGAAUUCCCAGUGUAGCGGUGAAAUGCGUAGAUAUUGGGAGGAACACCAGUGGCGAAGGCGGCUUUCUGGACGGUGUCUGACGCUGAGGCGCGAAAGCCAGGGGAGCGAACGGG
rnacentral:rRNA from 1 species